UGAUGUAGACAUUAAAACGUAUUAGUUUACAAACCAUGCACUAUGUUAAAAGUGUUUUGAAGUCACAACAUAGUACUAUGGAAAUGGAAGG